rnacentral:rRNA from 1 species
GCGAUCAUACCAGCACUAAUGCACCGGAUCCCAUCAGAACUCCGAAGUUAAGCGUGCUUGGGCGAGAGUAGUACUAGGAUGGGUGACCCUCGGCAAGUCCUCGUGUUGCACCA